GACGAACGCUGGCGGCGUGCUUAACACAUGCAAGUCGAACGGAAAGGCCCUGCUUUUGUGGGGUGCUCGAGUGGCGAACGGGUGAGUAACACGUGAGUAACCUGCCCUUGACUUUGGGAUAACUUCAGGAAACUGGGGCUAAUACCGGAUAGGAGCUCCUGCUUCAUGGUGGGGGUUGGAAAGUUUCGGCGGUUGGGGAUGGACUCGCGGCUUAUCAGCUUGUUGGUGGGGUAGUGGCUUACCAAGGCUUUGACGGGUAGCCGGCCUGAGCGGGUGACCGGCCACAUUGGGACUGAGAUACGGCCCAGACUCCUACGGGAGGCAGCAGUGGGGAAUAUUGCACGAUGGGCGGAAGCCUGAUGCAGCAACGCCGCGUGCGGGAUGACGGCCUUCGGGUUGUAAACCGCUUUCGCCUGUGACGAAGCGUGAGUGACGGUAAUGGGUAAAGAAGCACCGGCUAACUACGUG
rnacentral:rRNA from 1 species